rnacentral:rRNA from 1 species
UACGAAGGGUGCAAGCGUUAAUCGGAAUUACUGGGCGUAAAGGGUGCGUAGGCGGUUGUUUAAGUCUGUCGUGAAAUCCCCGGGCUCAACCUGGGAAUGGCGAUGGAUACUGGGCAGCUAGAGUGUGUCAGAGGAUGGUGGAAUUCCCGGUGUAGCGGUGAAAUGCGUAGAGAUCGGGAGGAACAUCAGUGGCGAAGGCGACUACCUGGCCUGUUCUUGACGCUGAGGCGCGAAAGCUAGGGGAGCAAACGGG